AGAGGAUAUAGGAUAUUAGGAUAUUCCUUCCCUGUUUAGUAUAUCCUCUUCUCUGCUCCAACAACCAGCAUAUUCUCUCUGAGGGAAGUGGUUUAAAUUUCCAAGGUGAAUGCUUUAGAGAGAAAGCAAGAGAUAACACGUAAUGGGCCUGAUCGAAUUCGCAUUGGAUUUGAAUUCAUAACAUCCUUAGAUAUCUUCUUAGCUGGCAAGCUUGGUGGUGGGGUGGGAUGGAUAAAAGUGGAAUUUAAUCCCAGGUCAGAGAUGUCAUACUUAUCAGCUGCACGGAGAAGUGCAAGCCGGUGGGUCAGAAACUCAUCCUGUUGGAUGUUGCCAUAGAUGUAGU